UCCGCUUCCGCUAGUCGGAAGUCUCUGCCAUCAGAGGCUCGUGGCGCUUUCCUACUCCUUGUUCACCACAGAACUCCACCCAAGUGAAAGAGACUCUGAACCCUGGGAGUGAUGAAGCUUUACUGAAAAGACCUGGGGUGAUGCAGGCAAAGGACUUACCACUGUUGACGUUCCUGCCCUCCAUUCCUGUUCUCCACCGUUGCUCCAUUCCUAAGGGGGUCUAGAGGGGGAUCUGCGGCAAGAGUCUAGACCACGGCCAAGGAGCUAAAGCCCACAAGGUACAAGCUGUAAAAGGAUUACGUGGCAGAGCAAGAACUUGAACCUCACACCUGAUUCUACACAACGCGCUUCACUCAAGCAGCAUGAUACGUGCUUACCAUUUUAACUCUGAGAUCUCAGUCACAGACUGAGUGGUUGGCUGUGCUCGGGGGCCUGUCAAAUCAACUCCAGUCUGUGCCCACAGAGGCUCAGUUCCCAUCAUUCCUGCAGGGUCUUCAAACACAGAGAGUGAUCUGCUUGCCUCGCCUCCUGCUCACACUAGGAGGAUACAAUCAUUUUACACUGCAAGAGGGCGUUCAUAGCAUUCUGGUGGGGAAUAGGGGGGGAUAAAAAGAAAGUGCACAGACCUGUUUCUAGACCUUCCAGCUGUGUCCAUGAGGUAGCGGACUGGAAGGAAACUUGGAGAGCAAUUAUGGUAUGAUUUUAAUAAGAAAAACACCUUUUUAAGUUCAUUUCUGCUGGCUUUAUGCAGAAACCAGUCCGAGGUUCCUGGAGACCUAUUUGUGAUAGAAGCCAUUUGGGAUUCUUCAGACAGGCACUCGCUUCUCUCUGGGGUGUUUUUAUCUUUGCUCGCAAUGUCUAUAGAACUUGGAGUUUGGAUUCAUUAAACAGGGACAGGGUCUGCUCUUAAUCCACAUACAACAUCUGUCAUACUGUCAGGACUCAUUAUGUCCUCCAUAAAGCAUCAUACUUAGAGUACUUCAGCUUUAAAAUAUGUGCCACCAUUCCUUUUUCAGGAGGCAAAUCUAGGCAGAUGUUUUCUCCAUCGGUUUACAGAUAUUGGUGUUUUCCAGUGUCUGCCUUGGAUCAAGCUGGCUUUUUUCAAUGACCACCAUUUAUAAACUAAUUGAUUCCAGAUGAAGAAGCAGCAGACAUUUUAUCGCUUCAAGGGCUGUUGGCAUUCUAUUUGAUAUAAUUUCAAAAAGAGAAUCAUUUUAGCAGUGCUUAAUAUAUAUCAGGACUUGGUGUAGACACCCUAACUUCUCCCAGAGACACUUUUUCCCACCAGUGGUUAUAGGGGGAUAGACCAUAUGAAAAUGGUCAAAAAAAAUCUCAUCUCAGCAAUUUAUGUUUCAAUCUAAUAACACACGUGGAUCAUAGCAGGUAGCAUAUCAUUGCUGGAGGAAUAAAUGAAGGAAGCCAGGCAUCCAGGGUGCAUUUAGUCCAUGGCAUUAAGACAAAUCUGCAUAAUUUUGUCUCUUUGAUUCAUUCAUUGCUUCAUUCUUUGACCUUUUCGGUGACUAUUUCUCCUCUGCUGUGUGACAGUCAGUGUGCAGCUGAAUGAGAGCAGAGAGCCCACGAUCAAGUGCAGGCUGUGGAGCAGAGGAGCAAAAGCCGGUGCAGACAGGACUGAGCAUGCAUACGGGGCACAAGCACCCUGAUCCUGUAGAGAAGGAGCUUCUAGAACGGCCUUGUGUGUAGGUGAUGUUCCAGCAGAGUUCUGAGAGACCAGUUAGGAGGUCAAAGGCAAGGGAGCUAGGGAUAGUGACUGUACAAGGUACCACUUGCUGAUAUCAGAAAGGUUAGCUGAGACUGACAAAGGGAGCAGACAUAUGUCAGGGAAGCCAUUUUGAGGAGUUUGUUCUUGACCUUGAGGACAAUGGGGAGACGCUGAAAAUCGUUAAGUCAUCAUGGUUCGGCUUAAUGAAACUGCACAGAUCAUCUGGAGAAAUGAUUUGAGAAUCAGGGUCUCAGAAAAUAGGAUUUUGGAUUGUGGAUAAUUUGCUAAGUGUGCUGACAUCCUUAUCUCUUUUCUAAACUGAGUCUUUUCAUUUAUGUACAUUGAUAUUUCAUCAUUUGAGAGUGUUUUUAAUGCUUUCAAGGCUGUUAAUCUAGUUGUCCCUGGUAGGAGUGUUGACUCAAGUAAUCUAAUUCACCAAAGGUGAAAAUAGAAAUCUUCUUUACCAGGAAUUUACCAGCAGAAAUAUGUAUUUUGUGUGUGU